rnacentral:rRNA from 1 species
AGUGGCCUACGGGGCGCAGCAGUGAGGAAUAUUGGUCAAUGGGCGGAAGCCUGAACCAGCCAAGCCGCGUGAGGGAUGAAGGUACAGAGUAUCGUAAACCUCUUUUGUCAGGGAACAAAGGCGGGGACGUGUCCCCGGAUGAGUGUACCUGAAGAAAAAGCAUCGGCUAACUCCGUGCCAGCAGCCGCGGUAAUACGGAGGAUGCGAGCGUUAUCCGGAUUUAUUGGGUUUAAAGGGUGCGCAGGCGGUCUGUUAAGUCAGCGGUCAAAGCCCGGGGCUCAACCCCGGCCCGCCGGUGAAACUGG